rnacentral:rRNA from 1 species
UACGAAGGGGGCUAGCGUUGUUCGGAAUCACUGGGCGUAAAGCGCACGCAGGCGGAUCGAUAAGUCGGGGGUGAAAGCCCGGGGCUCAACCUCGGAAUUGCCUUCGAUACUGUCGGUCUCGAGUCCGGGAGAGGUGAGUGGAAUUCCUAGUGUAGAGGUGAAAUUCGUAGAUAUUAGGAAGAACACCAGUGGCGAAGGCGGCUCACUGGCCCGGUACUGACGCUCAGGUGCGAAAGCUACGGUAGCAAAUGGG